rnacentral:rRNA from 1 species
AUACGGAGGGUGCAAGCGUUACUCGGAAUUACUGGGCGUAAAGCGUACGUAGGCGGCAAGUUAAGUUAGAUGUGAAAGCCCCGGGCUCAACCUGGGAACUGCAUUUAAAACUGGCUUGCUAGAGUUGAGUAGAGGGGAGUGGAAUUUCAGGUGUAGCGGUGAAAUGCGUAGAGAUCUGAAGGAACACCAGUGGCGAAGGCGACUCCCUGGACUCGAACUGACGCUGAGGUACGAAAGCGUGGGUAGCAAACGGGAUUAGAAACCCUAGUAGUCC